rnacentral:lncRNA from 11 species
UGAAAUUCAGAAAUGGAUCGGCAGCAUAGAAGCCAAAUACCUGAAGCUCACUGGUGGGGAAGAAAACUUCUGCCAGAUCACUUCUGUAUUCUUCAUAAGCUUCAGGGGUUUCUAAGGAUACCAUAGGAACAUGCUAUGUGUAGCUGCUGCAUUGUCCUCACAGAUCCGGCCAUCCUUGGACCUUAUGAAUCUCUUUGAGAAAAAAAGGAAGGGGAGAGGAAGCUGAAAACAAGCCACAGAAAGAAAAAUUCAUCCAAAGUGCACAAAACUGAAAAAUGUAUGUUUAUCUAUUAUAAUAUACCUAUUUGUUAAAGAUGUCUUCACAAAAUCAAUAGGCAAAAUACAUGAAAUCAUAGUAUAAAAAGCACAAUAUUUCUGAAAAGUUAAAA